rnacentral:rRNA from 1 species
GGUCAAGCGAAUAAGCGCACACGGUGGAUGCCUUGGCGGUCAGAGGCGAUGAAGGACGUGGCAGCCUGCGAAAAGUAUCGGGGAGCUGGCAACAAGCUUUGAUCCGGUAAUGUCCGAAUGGGGAAACCCACCCGCUUGCGGGUAUCCUGCAGUGAAUACAUAGCUGCUGGAAGCGAACCUGGUGAACUGAAAUAUCUAAGUAACCAGAGGAAAAGAAAUCAACCGAGAUUCCGUAAGUAGCGACGAGCGAACGCGGACUAGCCCUUAAGCUGGAUUGGUUCUAGGAAAACGCUCUGGAAAGAGCGGCCAUAGAAGGUGAUAGCCCUGUAUCUGAAAGGGCCAUUCCAGUGAAGACGAGUAGGGCGGGGCACGUGAAACCCUGUCUGAACAUGGGGGGACCAUCCUCCAAGGCUAAAUACUACUGACCGACCGAUAGUGAACCAGUACCGUGAGGGAAAGGCGAAAAGAACCCCGGAGAGGGGAGUGAAAUAGAACCUGAAACCGUGUGCGUACAAGCAGUAGGAGCUCCGCAAGGAGUGACUGCGUACCUUUUGUAUAAUGGGUCAGCGACUUACUGUUCGUGGCAAGCUUAACCGUAUAGGGGAGGCGAAGGGAAACCGAGUCUGAUAAGGGCGCAUAGUCGCGGGCAGUAGACCCGAAACCGGGUGAUCUAGUCAUGCCCAGGGUGAAGGUGCGGUAACACGCACUGGAGGCCCGAACCCACUCCCGUUGCAAAGGUAGGGGAUGAGGUGUGAUUAGGAGUGAAAAGCUAAUCGAACCCGGAGAUAGCUGGUUCUCCUCGAAAGCUAUUUAGGUAGCGCCUCAUAUGUAUCCUCUCGGGGGUAGAGCACUGUUAUGGCUAGGGGG